rnacentral:misc_RNA from 1 species
GAUGGAAGAACGCAGCGAAAUGCGAUACGUAAUGUGAAUUGCAGAAUUCAGUGAAUCAUCGAAUCUUUGAACGCAUAUUGCGCUCUCUGGUAUUCCGGAGAGCAUGCUUGUUUGAGUAUCAGUAAACACCUCAACUUCCAUAUCUUUUUUGAAAUGGGAGUUGGACUUGAGUGAUCCCAACGCUUUUCCUCACCGAAAAGUGGCGGGUUACUUGAAAUGCAGGUGCAGCUGGACUUUUCUCUGAGCUAUAAGCAUAUCUAUUUAGUCUGCCUAAAAAACAGAUUAUUACCUUUGCUGCAGCUAACAUAAAGGAGAUUAGUUCUUGUGCUGACUGAUGCAGGAUUCACAAAGACGGCUUCGGCCGACUUUGUAAACUCGAUCUCAAAUCAAGUAAGACUACCCGCUGAACUUAAGCAUAUCAAUAAGCGGAGGA